CCGCUGUUACACAGGAGGCAGUCAGUAGCCACAAAGAAAUGCCAAGAACAGGAGUGCCACAAUCAGAUGCUAGCACUGGACAGCCAUUCUGGGUGCAGCAGGAGAGUGGAUGGGUGGGGUAAAGGAAUGACCCUUUGGCACACGAGGAGACAGGAGCUGGGCAAAGGUGUUAACAGUGGUCUGGGAAAGACAGUCAGCUUCAGGAGAGAGCAAUGAUGUGGACUUAAUGCCCCCUGAAGAUUGUCUGGAUGGGAGCUCUGUGGAUGGCUCCUGUAACUCCCCAGUGCAGGUGAUGCUGCUGGAUGGCUCAGCCUCCACCACUCGCCUGGCCCAGCCUGGUCUUCUUAGGGCUGCCUUCUCCAGAAGGCUAAGGCUGUGGCAGCCAGAAGCACCCCGGGGAUUCCAGCUGCAUCUCACCUGUCCCCCAGUAGGGCGACAAGAGGAGCCAGAAGGAGCCUUACCUCUCCCCAUGCCGGCCCACAGCAGAGCUCGGGCGGGUGAUGUGUCUGCCAAGGUCCACACUGAAACACUCUGCAGUGUGUGCUCCUCCCACACCCCAGGCAGGUGGUGCUGGUGACUGCUACUGUCUGCCUGGCACAUAUUCAUGCCUGGCACUAGGUUGGGCACUUCAAACAUCUUCCCUGCUAGGUGAGGUUUCUAAGAGAUGUCCCUGGGGAUCCUGUCCCCAGAUGGAUUCAAGAACAGAUCCUGAGGCCACGCAGCACAUUACAGCACUCCACCCAAAACGGACCGUCCUCUCCCAUUCUUUCCAGGUGCUAACACAUUACAGAUAACAAACCCAUGUCUCUAAAAUGUAAAUAUGGAAGGGACACAAACCCAACAAGAAAAGGGCUAACAUCCCAACAGGAAAAUAACUAAGGAAAUAAACAUGCUUCUUGAACAGUAAAAAGAUGCUCAACCUUACUCAUAAGAAGAUAUACAUUAAAACUAUGAUGAGAGGCCGGGUGCGGUGGCUCACGCCUGUAAUCCCAGCACUCUGGGAGGCCAAGACGGGUGGAUCACUUGAGGUCAGGAGUUCGAGACCAGCCUGGCCAACAUGGUGAAACCCCAUCUCCACUAAAAAUACAAAAGUUAGCUGGGCAUGGAGGCUCGCGCCUGUAAUCCUAGCUACUUGGGAGACUGAGGCAGGAGAAUUGCUUGAACCUGGGAGGCAGAGGUUGCAAUGAGCCGAGAACAUGACACUGCACUCCAGCCUGGGCAACAGAACGAGACUCCACCAAACUAUAAUGAGAAACCUCUUUCUACCUACUAAUCGGGACAAGAGCCCAGUCUGACCACAUAUUCUGCUGCCAAGCAUGCAAGAAAACAGGCAUUUACACAUUGCUGACGAAAUUCCUCAACAGAGGGCAAUUUGGUGAGUAGCCCCCUCAGCUUACCAAGGCACAUCCCCUCUGACUCAAAAAUCUCACUCUUGGAAAUCUAUCCUUCAAUUACACCUGAGUGAAACAACUUAUGUGCCAGGUUAUUCAGGGUAGUGCUAUUUGUAAUAGCAAAACAUUAGAAACAGUCUAGAUGUCUAUCUGCAGUAAUUAAAUAAAUUAUGGUGUAUCUAUACCAUGGAUCACUUUGCAGUUAUAAAAAACAAUGAAGAUAAUCCUUAUACACUGACACAGGUAUACAGAACAUCAUCUGUAUAUCAGAAAGUGAAAAGAGCAAGAACGGAGCUACAGACACAGAUCUGUAGAUACAGACACUUCCUUCUACAACAAAAACUGCUCCCCCUAAACAGAGACAGAGUAAACAUCCCCCUAUCCUAGGGCUAUCAGUAAUGACAGGCACAGAUCUGGCUGGUGGUGCGGCUGGUUCUCCCUCUAUUCCCUCAAAGUGCUAUCAGAUCCAGGGAUCUUCUCUGUAAUUGUUCUGUAUGAUGCAGUAUCUUUGAUCACCAGUAUUACUCCGCAGGAAUAAAGGGGCUAGGGAGAAGAAUAGGCACAAUGAAAGAAUAUAAAUGGCCAAGGAAUGCUGGCAGAAGUGUUUGGCUUCACUGAAACUCAAAAUUAAAGCAAUCAGAUACAAUAAGGUCAAUAUAAACUAGGCUGUUAUUUAUUAUAGCAAAGCAUUAGAAACAAUCCAAAGUCCCAAUGCAAGUGGAAAAGUUAGAUCCAUGAUUUGCUAUAUGUCACAAUUACAAGUUCUGUUUCUAAUAACAUUGAGAUGCCACGAUAUGAUACAAAGUUAAAGUCUUCAUAAAGCAGAUUGUGUGUUGAUGAGAAUUUUAUAAAAGAACACUCAAAUACUUGUCUUAAAUCUCUGGAAAGAAAUACAUCAAGGCUGGGCACAGUGGCUCAUGCCUGUAAUCUCAGCACUUUGGGAGACCAAUCACUUGAGCUCAGAAAUUCGAG
rnacentral:lncRNA from 1 species